rnacentral:lncRNA from 10 species
GGAAAAGCCUCAACCCAUCUGAUGAAGGUGUCGACCCAAACCAGGAGAUGUUCAUUUGGAUUUGGAAGACCGCCUGGCAAAAUUUAUGAAGACAGAAGAAGCCAUUAUAUACUCAUAUGGAUUUGCCACCAUAGCCAGUGCUAUUCCUGCUUACUCUAAAAGAGGGGACAUUGUUUUUGUAGAUAGAGCUGCCUGCUUUGCUAUUCAGAAAGGAUUACAGGCAUCCCGUAGUGACAUUAAGUUAUUUAAGCAUAAUGACAUGGCUGACCUCGAGCGACUACUAAAAGAACAAGAGAUCGAAGAUCAAAAGAAUCCUCGCAAGGCUCGUGUAAC